rnacentral:lncRNA from 1 species
AAAAGCAGAGCAUACUUUUGCCAUCUUCUAGGUGUGAGCACUAAGCCUAAUGGAAGCAUUUUUGGCAUACUCCAGAUAAACUUAAGAAAAAUGGUAAGGCUGAAAGGGAGGCACACGUACUCAUUCUGUCAAUUAAUAACAGACCCUCCCUAUGAGGGAAAAUACUCCCUUUUGUACAGAACCCCUGGUAUGCAAGUCUUACAAUUAAUGUUAAAGAAUAUAAAGUCUUCAAAUGGGCCAUAUCUGUAAUCAAAUAAUGAAGAAAGAAAGUAGUUAAAUGAACAUACCAUUCAGGGUCGAAUGUAUUCAGCAAAAAGCCGUAGUGGGUCUUUGAUCAUGGUUAGAUGCAUAGUGAUAUCAAACAGUGGGUUCUCAUGUAACAGCUAAAUGUUUCAGAUUUUGUUUUUAUUAAAUUUGGCAGUUUCACGCUGAGCCCUACUGUAUUCUUAGUGAAUAAAAGACAGCUCCUCUGUUAGAACGUACUUCAUUUUCACGAUUGCAGGGAACCAGGAGGGGUUUUUUAGAAACACGGGCCACAGAAAUGUACUCCUUUCACAGUGUUCUCCUAUUUCUGAACUGUGCAGUUAUCUAUUAAAUUUUCUAAUAGAUAUUUGUGUAAGGUGUAUGUAUGCUUGUGCAAUUAUGGAAAAAAACAGUUUUGGAAUACAGUGUAUUUAUGAAAAAAAAAUAAAUAAUCACUUAUGGGGCAUGUACAAAACUGUAUAAAAACAUUCAAUUUGCCCAGUAAAGUUGUUUUUGUGAUAUUUCUGUGUUGUUGAAUAAAGGACUUUAGUAUUCAAAACAUCUCUCUUUUUCCAUAAACAGGUUUUGUUUGUGGGAUCUUAAACAAAAAAUACCUCUUUUAAAAAGAAUCCUCAAAAUGAGCGAGAAAUUCCAAAUGCUGACCUCAGUCUUGUGUAUAGGAAUGAAUGCUUAUGAAGUGAUGGUACAACAGCUACAAAACUAAUUCCUUCUCAAUUGGCAGUUGAUGGAAACCCCAUAAGUUGUAUACCUGACGGUAAUACGCUCUGGAUUUUUGAAAAUAGCAGAAAAAAUACCACCUUUUUAAGACUAGGAAUGUUGACAUUUUGAGGCUAUCAAAAGGUUAGUGAAGUAGGAGCAAGAUGGAUUUCAGGAAAGGCUUCAACCCUUUAACACAGACCUCUGUUGUAUAAGAAGAGUGGACUAGUGAGGGUGAUGGGAUAAAUUUGCAGUUAGCUUUGUAAGGAAAAGCAUACAAAGGUGAAAUCUCACCUGUAACUCUUGCAACAAACAAUAGUCUUCAGACGAGAUCAUCCUGUUGCUGUUGGAGUAUUUGGGAUUACAAAUACAGUUUGUGAGAGAAUGACAAUAGUAUCUUCCUUUUUGUUUUACUGCUGCUCAUUCGAAGUUCUGCUCUUUAUCUGCCUUACAAACUAUACGUAGCGAAAGAAAUGGUUUUCUCUUGCCAUUUUAUUUCCCCACAUUACUUGCCAACAUUAAAGCAACUUCAGAUAUGUGGGAAAGUUCAUGGAUGUGCCGGCAGCACGUCAUCUGGUUUUGGUGAAAUUUGGAAUGUCAUUUCUCUGCGAAUAUUCCUUUAAUAAACAGGAUGUCUGCUCUUACGUGCCAAAACAGGAUUCUGAAAGGGUUUGAAACCUGAGGUAGGUCCUUUUUUCUGUGCGAUUCCUUCAAUGCCAACUGAUUUUCCAGGGAGAGCCUCGGUGCAUCCUUUUGUUUUUUAAAGAAAGCAACAAAAGUGAUAGGAAUAGAAGUGGAUUUUCCACUGAUCCUGUCUGCUCUCAUCGAAAUCUAUAAAGAUAUAUGUUCUUGGGAGACAUAGACCACUCAUUAGACAGUGCCAAGAGUGAAUCUUGAGGUCUGUUUGAAGAGGAGGAAAAGGGCUGCCAGGUUGCUCAGGCAGAGUGAGUGAUCUUUCUGGAUUAAAUAUAGAAUUCACAGGGAGGAAAUACACUCAUUUCGUGAGAUGGUCGAUUUGGAAGCGGGAAGAGGUCUCUGAGUUCCUAUUCCUUUAAUGCUUUAUCUUUCAACUUUUUUUCCCCUUGAGUAUUGUUUUAUACUAGUCUGAAUGAAAAACGUCCCUCGGCUCCAGAGAAAUACUCGCCCCAGAUAUGAACCUUGCAGUUUAAAACUACCUCUAGCUUUUUAUAGCUUUUAUUUUUUAAUUAAAAAAGAAAAUCGAAAAAAACCCCAGACAACAAGCAGGUAAUUCUUCAAAGCCAAAACUGACAAACUCAUUACUGAGCCUAUUAAAAGGAAGGAAAAUACCCUUUUGUGUGGAAGCUCAAUUCUUCCCGGCUCUCUUGGACUCAAUUUGGUUUUGCCACUAGCCAUUUCAGUGCUUUCUUACAUUUUUCCAAGGAACAAGUCUGAAAUCAUGAACGAUAUAGUGAUACAGGGCAAUGUGCCUUCCGGGAGGCCCUAGUCCUCCCCAGAUUCCCAUGGGCUUUACUAGAUAGCUCUUGAAAUUGGAGGAUAUUAUAUAGGUGACUUAGUUAUAAUUUCUACCUUAUUUUGCUGUAAGGAUCUACUCAGUCACCAGCGUGUGGUGGGCACAGAUUGAUGGUCCCCAAAUCUAUAAAGGUAAGAAAUACACCUUCUGAGUAAUAACUACAGAACAUAAAAUAGAGUUUGAGACCAUUGGAACCAUCAAAGGAAAGAAAGGUGAAGUUCAGCAUCAGCAAAGAUGUCAGCAUCUGCUCCCACUAUUGCUUUGUUUCUGUUUGACACCUGGUUUUUAGGAUGGACAUACUCGUCUUGGUAGCUGGGUCCUUCAGCAAGGCAGUUUUGCAUAAGAUAGGCAGAAUGAAGGAGUUGUGGGUAGCAAAUUGUAAUCUUUCAAGACAAGCAUCUAGAGUGCCUAAAGAAGCUGUGAUGUUCAGGAAGUAUUUCCAUGGCUCUUGUAAGUUUUCAAACUAUAUUAAAGGAUUGUUGCAUUUUUCUUAAUCUAAUAAGCAGGAAGAGUUUGUUGUGCUACUGCCCAUUCCCUUAAAAAGGGUUUUAGGAAUUAGCCUUAACGGGUUAAUUUCCCAAUAAACUUUGAAGGUACUUCCUAGUCUAAUAGGACUUCCCCAUAAGAGAAGAUGUGGGUUCAUUGGCCUGUGUAAGGCCCCUUUGCCUUGUAGAGUCAAGGAUCUUUGGAUAGAAAGAUAGAAAGGAUAGAAAAAAAAUCAGCAGAAUUCUUGUAGAAAGAUCUGCAGGUGUCAUGAUGUCAGUCAGAGCCCAGGUUAAUUAUUCUGUGCAGUUCUUCCCAGCAUGGUUUAUGAUGUGUGUAAGCACCCUACAUUUGAGAAGAAAACACCCUUCUUCCUUUACUCCUUUACAUCUGCUGUGUAACACUAACCCUCUUCUUUAGGAAAGCCCAAACGUUAGAAGAAAUACAUCUCUUUUUGGCUAGUCAUUUUCCUUUGGAAAGAGAGAGAGAAGAGUUAGCCCAGGUCAAAAACCCCCUGUUGCUUGCCCAAAUUUCUUAACACAGGUGUUCUCUGCAUCAGAAGUAGCUUGUUAGCAAAGUCUAUACAUCAGCUUGAUAGUCAGACACAACCCUACAGAAGAUCAACACCAAAGCAAACAGGACCCAGUGGGGAACAUUCCCACCAUGACCUCCCUGGUAUAUGCGACACACACAAGUCUGUGCCGGAUGUCCAACACCCCUUCCCCUCCCAGGGAAUCAGGUUUGCUAUGCCCAGCAGAGAGGUGAACCUCCCAGAUCUGAUGAGCAGAUAGCAUGCUGGAGAGCUGUUAAAAGGAGAAAAGGUUUACACAUCCAGACAGUGAUUAGAAUAUCUUGACCACUCGUCUUGUCUUAGCUUCUGAUUUCUAGCUGUGAGUGCCUGAGGCCACCAGGCUUCAUGAGAAGUAGCCGGACUGUUGAGUAUACCUAGUCUCUUAUGUGCCUGCAUUUUAAUAGUCAUACCUAGAGACUGAUAGUGAAUUUGACCAGCUGGUGUGUUCACCAAGAAUGUACUGUUUAAUGCAAAAUUAUAACAACAGCUUUCAACCUGGUUUUCGAGAAUUAGUGGGUAAAUAACCUGAUCUAAAGAAAUCUGUCACCCACAUUAGGAACCGUGAACUAAUUAUUGCUUUCUGAUAUUCUGCUCUUACUUGUUUUGCCUUUUCAUCCUGAUUGUUUGCAUUCCUAGGACUGAUUUGCCUUUUUGAUGCAAUGCCAUGUGAUCUGCUGAUUAAUUUUUGUGAUCAAUCAUAGACUCCAACCUAUGGCUGACUCAGUAUAUUUUUAUGCUACGCUCCAUAAACAUUCAUUCAUUAUGAUUACUGUGUGGAAACAAACUUUUACAGGCUAAUAAACUUGGAUUUGAACUGGA